UUACGGCCAUAUUACGUUGGAACUCUAAUUUUCAUCCGAUCACCGAAGUUAAGCAACGUUGAACCUGGUCAGUCCUAGAUGGGUGACUGCUGCCGAAUACCAGGUGCUGUAA